rnacentral:rRNA from 1 species
UAGUGAGUUUGAUCCUGGCUCAGGACGAACGCUGGCGGCGUGCCUAAUACAUGCAAGUCGAGCGCAGGAAGCCGUUCCGAACCCUUCGGGGGGACGACGGUGGAAUGAGCGGCGGACGGGUGAGUAACACGUAAAGAACCUGCCCAUAGGUCUGGGAUAACCACGAGAAAUCGGGGCUAAUACCGGAUGUGUCAUCGGACCGCAUGGUCCGCUGAUGAAAGGCGCUCCGGGCGUCGCCCAUGGAUGGCUUUGCGGUGCAUUAGCUAGUUGGUGGGGUAACGGCCCACCAAGGCGACGAUGCAUAGCCGACCUGAGAGGGGUGAUCGGCCACACUGGGACUGAGACACGGCCCAGACUCCGUACGGGAGCAGCAGUGGGGGAAUAUUGGACAAUGGGGCGAAGCCUGAUCCAGCAACGCCGCGUGAGGGAUGAC